UUUCGGUCGGUUAGUGAGUGAUACCGGCGAGGUCGAGUGAUUCGUGAGUGAGUUAUGUGACAUUUCGGGAUUUUGUGAGUUGUUGGUUCAUCGAGUUAGGGUUUUGUGAGUUUGUGAGUGAGACGCUUUGUUCAGAGGUUUUUUUUCUCUUGUGAGUGAGUUUGUAAGUGAAAUGAAAUAAAAGAAAGAAAUAUUGUUUUUUUCUUGACUAAGAUAAGAGUUUUUUUU
rnacentral:lncRNA from 1 species